UACGAAGGGGGCUAGCGUUGUUCGGAUUUACUGGGCGUAAAGCGCACGUAGGCGGAUCGUUAAGUCGGGGGUGAAAUCCUGGAGCUCAACUCCAGAACUGCCUUCGAUACUGGCGAUCUUGAGUCCGGAAGAGGUGAGUGGAACUCCUAGUGUAGAGGUGGAAUUCGUAGAUAUUAGGAAGAACACCAGUGGCGAAGGCGGCUCGCUGGGACGUGACUGACGCUGAGACGCGAAAGCGUGGGGAGCAAACAGG
rnacentral:rRNA from 1 species